rnacentral:rRNA from 1 species
UAGGGAAUCUUCGGCAAUGGGGGGAACCCUGACCGAGCAACGCCGCGUGAGUGAAGAAGGUUUUCGGAUCGUAAAGCCCUGUUGUUAAGGAAGAACGAGUGUGAGAAUGGAAAGUUCAUACUGUGACGGUACUUAACCAGAAAGGGACGGCUAACUACGUGCCAGCAGCCGCGGUAAUACGUAGGUCCCGAGCGUUGUCCGGAUUUAUUGGGCGUAAAGCGAGCGCAGGCGGUUAGAUAAGUCUGAAGUUAAAGGCGGGGGCUCGACCAUUGUAGGCUUAUGAAAGUGUUUAACUUGAGUGCAGAAGGGGAGAGUGGAAUUCCAUGUGGGACGGUGAAAUGCGUGGGUAUAUGGAGGAACACCGGUGGCGAAAGCGGCUCUAUGGUCUGUUACUGUCGCUGAGGCUCGAAAGCGUGGGGAGCGAACAGG